AUUGAACGCUGGCGGCAGGCCUAACACAUGCAAGUCGAGCGGAUGAAGGGAGCUUGCUCCUGGAUUCAGCGGCGGACGGGUGAGUAAUGCCUAGGAAUCUGCCUGGUAGUGGGGGAUAACGUCCGGAAACGGGCGCUAAUACCGCAUACGUCCUGAGGGAGAAAGUGGGGAUCCUUGGGACUUACGCCUACCGGUUGAGCCAGGUUCGGAUUAGCUAGUUGGUGGGGUAAGGGCCUACCAAGGCGACGAUCCGUAACUGGUCUGAGAGGAUGAUCAGUCACACUGGAACUGAGACACGGUCCAGGCUCCUACGGGAGGCAGCAGUGGGGAAUAUUGGACAAUGGGCGAAAGCCUGAUCCAGCCAUGCCGCGUGUGUGAAGAAGGUCUUCGGAUUGUAAAGCACUUUAAGUUGGGAGGAAGGGCAGUAAGUUAAUACCUUGCUGUUUUGACGUUACCAACAGAAUAAGCACCGGCUAACUUCGUG
rnacentral:rRNA from 1 species